CGGGGCUCGAACUCACAAACCCGUGAGAUCACGAUCUGAGCCGAGAUCAAGAGUCAGACACUUAACCAAACGUGCUACCCAGUGCUCCUCUGUCCCUGGCUGUUUUAACCUGGGGCUGCAAGUGACAGACUCAAGCCGGGUCUGAGAGAACAAGGACCUGACGGGCUCCUGUCCUUGGAAGGCCCGGAGCGGAGCCGCUACGGCGCGGCUGGAUUCGGCGACGUCAGGAGGUGUCACCAGGAAGCCGGCUUCGGCCUCCUUUCGUUAGUGUUGCCAGACUUAGCGGCCCGACCUAUGGGACGUGCAGCUUAAACUAAAUGGAUUGGAUUGUUGCCACUUGGACUUAAAGAAUCCUGUGGGAAGAUAGGAGACACCAUCCUAAAGUCAAAUUAGAACCUGAUACUCACAGGCAUUAUGAAGGACACAGGCAGAGCCCGGGGCCCCACCUGGGGGUCAGGAGGGCUUCCUGGAGGAGGAGGUGCUGAGUCGAGUCUUGAAGGAUGAGUAGACCUCGACCUGGAGAGGAGGUCGUUCCCAACUUCUCACACCGGAUCACCACACAGAGGUGGGGUGACUUGAAGACCUAGGAC